rnacentral:rRNA from 1 species
UCCACGCUGUAAACGAUGAGAACUAGGUGUGGGGGGGUAUUGAUACCUUCUGUGCCGCAGCUAACGCAUUAAGUUCUCCGCCUGGGGAUUACGGUCGCAAGGCUAAAACUCAAAGGAAUAGACGGGGACCCGCACAAGUGGUGGAGCAUGUGGUUUAAUUCGAAGAUACGCGAAGAACCUUACCUAGCCUUGACAUAUUAAAGAACACAGUAGAGAUACAGUGGUGCCUUCGG